rnacentral:miRNA from 1 species
UCUCGACUGUAGCUCCGGUCCCUU